CUGGUAACCUGACGAAUCACAAGGCACAAAACACACCUGUGUAUGCAUGGAGUAUAGCCAUUGGCCAGAGCAUGAAAACGACACCUGGGCAGGGCUCCAAGGUGUACCUGAAGACCCAGAUCUUUUUGUAGACGCAGUUUCUUUGCUUCAGGAGCUUAAGGAGAUUGUGUUUCUUGUAGUGCUUGAGAUUCCACUUCUAUUGUUCCGCUGAUUUGUUGCACCAUCAGCUCUCUUCAAACAGGCUCGUGAACUUUCCGUCAACAUGGAAGGAGCAGUUGGCCCUUCGGGCAAAUGGAAGGAGCAGUUGGCCCUCCAGGCAAAUGGAAGGAGCAGGAAGUAAACUCCAUUGGUUAAAUGGGCAUAGCAAGGAGACACAAUGGCAUUUCUUGUUCACGGCUGCAUCCUGAAUGACCACCUCAGCCAUCAAGAUGUUUUACCACGAAGCUUCACUUUUCCUGUGUGCCUCUAUAAAAUCCUCUGAUUUGCGUCUUACCAGGCAUGUUUAGAUGUCUAGAUGCACUCUCUCUAAUACUGCCUGGUAAUGCUGCAAAUCACAAGGACAUUGUUCAUCAUGACAUUUCUUCUCAGUCAGUAUAGGAAACUUAUUACAUAUGUUAGCAUUAUAACUUUUGUUCAUCUACUGGCCUGAUGUAUCGUUAAUACCAUUAAUAAUUCAAUGAAUUGAUGCAAGUCCUCUAAUAUAAUUAGUAUAUGCAAUAAAUGUUUUUCUUUCAAGUGUAUGUGUGUGUCAUUACAUUUUCUUCUAUUGCCAUGUAUUUUUUCUAAACACUGUGUUAUAGAUAAAUGGUUCACCUCCCAGAACUGUUGAAGAAUAUAAUAGAGCCUUGAUCAAAGGGAGGUGUAAAAAGGGGCAGUUAAAAUUAAACAUGAAGAAAUUAAGUGUCAUGAAGCUGUCAAUCCUUUUUCCUUAUCAGAACAAUUAAACCAUGAAUAUUCAGCUCUGUGCUAAACUGUGUCAUACUUUUGGAUUAAAGCAUUUGCCAAAUAAAUAAUUCUUACUCUUGCUUGAGAAAAGACCCUAGUAAACAUCCACUCCCUGACUAAACAAAUUUUCUCAGCUCCCAAAACAAGGUAAUUUUUCCCAUGACAAAGGGAGACUGGUAAAUAAGAGACCUUCACUUGGCUAUCAUACUGUAUCUGUAUCUAGCUCAGCAUAUUAUGUUCUUGCUUGUCAGGAAAACUUGUUAGCCGUUAGUUUCGUUGUUGUCAUUGUUGUGUGGAAAUAUAACCUUAAAUAAACUUUUAGGUAAACCAACUUA